UACGGAGGGUGCAAGCGUUGCCCGGAUAGAUAGGGUUUAAAGGGUGCGUAGGCGGGUCUUUAAGUCAGUGGUGAAAGCCCAUAGCUCAACUAUGGAAUUGCCAUUGAUACUGUAGACCUUGAAUUCAGUAGAGGUAGGCGGAAUUGAUGGUGUAGCGGUGAAAUGCAUAGAUACCAUCAGGAACACCGAUUGCGAAGGCAGCUUACUGGACUUGAAUUGACGCUGAGGCACGAAAGCGUGGGGAGCGAACAGG
rnacentral:misc_RNA from 1 species